UUGGGGAUUAGCCAAGUCGGUAAGGCACAUGACUUUGACUCAUGUAUGCGGGGGUUCGAGUCCCUUCACCUCGACC
rnacentral:tRNA from 1 species